UACAGAGGGUGCAAGCGUUGUUCGGAAUUAUUGGGCGUAAAGCGCGUGUAGGCGGCUUUGCAAGUCGGGUGUGAAAGCCCUCAGCUUAACUGAGGAAGUGCGCCCGAAACUGCAGAGCUUGAGUACCGGAGAGGAUGGUGGAAUGCUUGGUGUAGCGGUGAAAUGCGUAGAGAUCGGGAGGAAUACCGGUGGCGAAAGCGACUCUCUGGACGGCAACUGACGCUGAGGCACGAAAGCGUGGGGAGCAAACAGG
rnacentral:rRNA from 1 species